ensembl:snRNA U6 U6 spliceosomal RNA
GAGCUCACUUCAGCAGCACAUACACUAAAACUGGAAUGACACAGAGAAGAUUAGCAUGGCCCCUGCACAUGAAUCAGAUACACAAGCUUAAAUAUUGUAUGAUUUUUU